rnacentral:lncRNA from 1 species
GAGCUGGGAACAGCAGCCAGGCUAAGCUGAACAGUCUCAUGCUGCAGCUGGCGCUGCCUGAAUCGUGAGGGACAGCCCCAGGAUGUGCUGCAGAGGGAGAGUUUGGGUGUGGGGGUUUCACACAUGUAAGUGCUGAGGCUUUUGCCUGCUGGUGUGAAUCAUCACUGGACCAGACUGUCUCCAGCCUUUCCCCAGCAAGCAAAGGAGAGAGUGGUGAUACGAGGAGCUUCCCUUCCAUGCCUUCCACACCACACCAUCCAGGGGCUGGUCCAUGUCCCCUGAGUAUCGACCGGAGCUCAGCGCAGCCUGCAGCACGAGGCCUACAUUCUACACCAGCGCCCCGCUUUGGCACUGCAGCACAGUUAUCAGACUUAUGGUACUUUCAAGUGAAGAAUGGGAUCAGAUUCUGAGAGAGAGAGAGAGAGAGAGAGAGACAGACAGACAGACUGAUGGUCUCUCAUGGUUAUUACAACACUGGAGCAGAGGAUAGACACUGAUUUGUUCCUGACACCCGGACAGGAUGUUGGCUGCUGUAUUAUUUUCAUGGAGUUAUAAGAUAUAGAGUCUUGUGGAGCCUCUCUGCCAGUCACCCAGAUGGAGGCUGUUUGCAAUGACACCCAGUGGAGCUGUAGCUGACACUGAUGUUGUCAAAUGUUUGUCCAGAUCAGUCCAAGGAUUUGUUGCUCACAGGUUGUCAUUCUGUGACCCUGUGUCACGGCCAGCGUUAACAGCAUGGACAUGGUGUCAUGCUGAAGCAGCCUUUGUCAGACUGCACAAUCUGCCUUAGGUGGUUUGGUGCAGUGGCCAUGAAAGCACCACUGAAUAUGACAGGUAACCCCGAGCCAUAGAGCUGCGGUGGUAAUUCUCUGAGUGGCCAGAAGACUGACAGGUCCCUGUCUACUCUGAGCUCCCACUCCUGAUUCACUGUUUGAUUUUUAUUGCAGUCAGACAUUGCCAUCUCCGCCGGCUGAAUCAGCAACUGUGUGAACAAUUCAGUUCACGAGCCUCCUGCCUGUCUGUACCGACCGUCAGCCCCUGUGCCAAGAAUCCAAGUGUGGCAUUCCCCAUUCACUGCUGCACUGAUAGGAAAGCGAACGGCCUGGAGGCCACAUCACACUAGAAACUCACUAUGGACAGAUGCUGAUGCUUCUUCCUGUUCCGAUAAAGGGGCCCACCACAUUUGUCUCCAUUCUCUCUGUCAUGCCAACUGUCUGCAGGACUAGGCACUAAGCUGUUAGGAACCAGACAGGUCCCUAACCUUUUAUUUAAGGAUGGCUGAAGCUUUUGGUUUCAGUGACACUUCUCAGGCUGUGAUGUGGUUUAUGUCCAUUACAGUAAUGAGAUCUCAGUGCCAUGGCCUGCAGUCAAUUCCAGGGGCCUUAAAUUCAGAGUGAAAUCUAUUAGCAGACAAAAUACUUUUACUUUAGUAACAACCUCGGCUGAUAGGACAGAAGCCGUCUUGUUGCCACCCAUCCUGCAUCACAGACACU